AUCAAAAGACUGCUCAAAACACAUAAUUUCCAUCCAAUACUAGAAAUUACAAACUUCACUCUAAUCAAUCUGAAUUCACAAAAUUUCUGUAAUUACUAACUUCCUUUGUCCAAAACACACAUAGCUCUCAAUAAACAAAAAUCAUAAUCUUCCAAUAAUUCCUUAUAUAAUUCAAUCACACAGUACUUCAAUUACAUAAUCAAUAACU
rnacentral:lncRNA from 1 species